ACGGCUCAGUAACACGUAGCUAACCUACCCUUGGGACGGGUACAACCCCGGGAAACUGAGGUUAAUACCCGAUAGGUGUGGAAUCCUGGAAUGGUACCACGCCCAAAUGUAAACGCAUCCAUGUUUGCGUGCACGCCCGAGGAUGGGGCUGCGGCCGAUCAGGCAGUUGGUGAGGUAACGGCUCACCAAACCUUUGACCGGUACGGGCCAUGAGAGUGGUAGCCCGGAGAUGGGCACUGAGACAAGGGCCCAGGCCCUACGGGGCGCAGCAGGCGCGAAACCUCCACAAUUCACGAAAGUGAGAUGGGGUUACCUCGAGUGCCGCCUGAAGAAGGCGGCUUUUCCAUUGUGUAAUGAGCCGUGGGAAUAAGAGGGGGGCAAGACUGGUGUCAGCCGCCGCGGUAACACCAGCCCCUCGAGUGGUGGGGAUGAUUAUUUGGCCUAAAGCGUCCGUAGCCUGCUCUGUAAAUCUUUCGUUAAAUCCAGCGUCCUAAGCGUUGGGCUGCGAGAGAGACUGCAGAGCUAGAGGGUGGGAGAGGUCAGCGGUAUUCCUGGGGUAGGGGCGAAAUCCAUUGAUCCCAGGAGGACCACCAGUGGCGAAGGCUGCUGACUAGAACACGCCUGACGGUGAGGGACGAAAGCUGGGGUAGCGAAUCGGAUUAGAUACCCGAGUAGUCCCAGCCGUAAACGAUGCAGGCUAGGUGUUGGGUUGGCCACGUGCCAGCUCAGUGCCACAGGGAAGCCAUUAAGCCUGCCGCCUGGGGAGUACGGCCGCAAGGCUGAACUUAAAGGAAUUGGCGGGGGAGCACCACCAGGCGUGAAGCCUGCGGUUUAAUUGGAGU
rnacentral:rRNA from 1 species